UAACGAAUAUUCCGCAAUGGACGAAAGUCUGACGGAGCAAUGCCGCGUGCAGGAUGAAGGCCUUCGGGUUGUAAACCGCUUUGGUCCGAAAGAAAGGGUAAAACUUGAUCGAUCGGAGAAACAAGGACGGGCUAAGUUCGUGCCAGCAGCCGCGGUAAGACGAACCGUCCAAACGUUAUUCGGAAUCACUGGGCUUAAAGGGCGCGUAGGCGGCCGAGCGGGUCGUGGGUGAAAUCCUCCAGCUUAACUGGAGAACUGCUUACGAUACCACUGCGGCUCGAGGAAGGAAGGGGUCAUGGGAACUGUCGGUGGAGCGGUGAAAUGCGUUGAUAUCGACAGGAACGCCUGUGGCGAAAGCGCAUGACUGGUCCUUUUCUGACGCUGAGGCGCGAAAGCCAGGGAGCAAACGGGAUUAGAUACCCAUGUAGUCCCUGAGCGGGCUGGCAAGGCGCAU
rnacentral:rRNA from 1 species